rnacentral:rRNA from 1 species
AUGAACGCUGGCGGCGUGCCUAAUACAUGCAAGUCGAACGAGUUCUGAUUAUUGAAAGGUGCUUGCAUCUUGAUUUAAUUUUGAACGAGUGGCGGACGGGUGAGUAACACGUGGGUAACCUGCCCUUAAGUGGGGGAUAACAUUUGGAAACAGAUGCUAAUACCGCAUAAAUCCAAAAACCGCAUGGUUCUUGGCUGAUAGAUGGCGUAAGCUAUCGCUUUUGGAUGGACCCGCGGCGUAUUAGCUAGUUGGUGAGGUAACGGCUCACCAAGGCAAUGAUACGUAGCCGAACUGAGAGGUUGAUCGGCCACAUUGGGACUGAGACACGGCCCAAACUCCUACGGGAGGCAGCAGUAGGGAAUCUUCCACAAUGGACGCAAGUCUGAUGGAGCAACGCCGCGUGAGUGAAGAAGGCUUUCGGGUCGUAAAACUCUGUUGUUGGAGAAGAAUGGUCGGCAGAGUAACUGUUGUCGGCGUGACGGUAUCCAACCAGAAAGCCACGGCUAACUACGUGCCAGCAGCCGCGGUAAUACGUAGGUGGCAAGCGUUAUCCGGAUUUAUUGGGCGUAAAGCGAGCGCAGGCGGUUUUUUAAGUCUGAUGUGAAAGCCCUCGGCUUAACCGAGGAAGUGCAUCGGAAACUGGGAAACUUGAGUGCAGAAGAGGACAGUGGAACUCCAUGUGUAGCGGUGAAAUGCGUAGAUAUAUGGAAGAACACCAGUGGCGAAGGCGGCUGUCUGGUCUGUAACUGACGCUGAGGCUCGAAAGCAUGGGUAGCGAACAGGAUUAGAUACCCUGGUAGUCCAUGCCGUAAACGAUGAAUGCUAGGUGUUGGAGGGUUUCCGCCCUUCAGUGCCGCAGCUAACGCAUUAAGCAUUCCGCCUGGGGAGUACGACCGCAAGGUUGAAACUCAAAGGAAUUGACGGGGGCCCGCACAAGCGGUGGAGCAUGUGGUUUAAUUCGAAGCAACGCGAAGAACCUUACCAGGUCUUGACAUCUUUUGAUCACCUGAGAGAUCAGGUUUCCCCUUCGGGGGCAAAAUGACAGGUGGUGCAUGGUUGUCGUCAGCUCGUGUCGUGAGAUGUUGGGUUAAGUCCCGCAACGAGCGCAACCCUUAUGACUAGUUGCCAGCAUUUAGUUGGGCACUCUAGUAAGACUGCCGGUGACAAACCGGAGGAAGGUGGGGAUGACGUCAAAUCAUCAUGCCCCUUAUGACCUGGGCUACACACGUGCUACAAUGGAUGGUACAACGAGUUGCGAGACCGCGAGGUCAAGCUAAUCUCUUAAAGCCAUUCUCAGUUCGGACUGUAGGCUGCAACUCGCCUACACGAAGUCGGAAUCGCUAGUAAUCGCGGAUCAGCACGCCGCGGUGAAUACGUUCCCGGGCCUUGUACACACCGCCCGUCACACCAUGAGAGUUUGUAACACCCGAAGCCGGUGGCGUAACCCUUUUAGGGAGCGAGCCGUCUAAGGUGGGACAAAUGAUUAGGGU